rnacentral:tRNA from 1 species
GAGAUUGUAGCUCAGUGGUAGAGUGCUCACCUAGCACAUGUGAGGUACUGGGUUCAAACCUCAGCACCACA